rnacentral:misc_RNA from 1 species
GAUGAAGAACGUAGCGAAAUGCGAUAAGUAAUGUGAAUUGCAGAAUUCAGUGAAUCAUCGAAUCUUUGAACGCACAUUGCGCCCGCCAGUAUUCUGGCGGGCAUGCCUGUUCGAGCGUCAUUACAACCCUCAGGCCCCCGGGCCUGGCGUUGGGGAUCGGCGGAGCCCCCCGUGGGCACACGCCGUCCCCCAAAUACAGUGGCGGUCCCGCCGCAGCUUCCAUCGCGUAGUAGCUAACACCUCGCGACUGGAGAGCGGCGCGGCCACGUCGUAAAACACCCAACUCUUCUGAAGUUGACCUCGAAUCAGGUAGGAAUACCCGCUGAACUUAAGCAUAUCAAUAAGCGGAGGA